rnacentral:tRNA from 1 species
AAAGGAUUAGUUAAUCAAAAUAACAUCAGAAUGUCAAACUGAAAUAACCAAAACUAAGGUAUCCUUUU